rfam:Stomoxys calcitrans breed 8C7A2A5H3J4 unplaced genomic scaffold Scaffold60, whole genome shotgun sequence.
CACAUGAUGAAAUUAAUUGGUCCGUGUUUAUGAUUUUUAUUUGAUUAAACCCCUCCAAUUACUGAUUAUU